GGAGUAACAAGACCGACUCUACGAUCGUCGCCAAGCUUGUCUCCGCCGCGACGUUCCUCGCCGGCUUCUCCCUAACUCCGUGACCGGUGGCUCAAGUGUUUUUCAUCCAAGUUAAGUCAGGAACUAGAGUCGAUGUUCAUGAUCUUCCGUGUUCAGAAAUGCUUUCAAAGGGUCUGCUUCCUAGGCAGUUCUUCAAAUUCUUCUGCCUUUUUGCAUACUUGCUCAUCUGCUGUGUCUCCAGUGGGGUCGUCACAAUUGGAACGCCCAACAAGACUAUCAGACCUUGACAUUAUCAUAACUAGAGUUCCUGUUGGAAAUAGUGAUGAUCAAGUACUAUUGUCUCUUCAAAAUGAUCAAGCAUGUAACAGCAUUCAGCUCACGCAUGUCCUUGUUCAUCAAUUGCUUCAUCGAUUUAAGAAUGAUUGGAAGUCGGCAUUGGGUGUAUUCAGAUGGGCUGAGUCACGGCCUGGCUAUGAACUCCCCUCAGAUGCGUAUGAUAUGAUCAUCGACAUUCUAGGAAAAAUGAGGCAGAUGGAUCAGACUAUGGAUUUGUUAGAGAGAAUGCAUCAGGAUCGUCUCGUAACGCUCAAAACUGUAGGUAAGGUUAUGAGAAGAUUUGCUGGUGCAGGGAAAUGGGAGGAUGCCGUGAGGAUAUUUGAUGGGUUAGGAAGAUUUGGAUUAGAUAAGAACACCGAAUCAAUGAACUUGUUGCUUGACACACUCUGCAAAGAGAAAAAAGUUGAGGUCGCACGCGAUAUCUUUUUAGAACUAAAAUCACAUAUCUCACCAAAUGCUCAUACGUUUAAUAUUUUCAUCCACGGCUGGUGCAAGGUCAAUCGCGUUGAUGAGGCACAUUGGACAAUCCAAGAAAUGAAGGGUCAUGGCUGUCGCCCUUGUGCCAUCAGCUACUCAACCAUUACCCUCUUUUAUUGCCACAAAUACAACUUUGGAAAGGUCUAUGAACUGUUUGAUGAAAUGGAAGCUCAAGGCUGCCCUCCAAAUGUUGUCACUUUCACUACUGUCAUGUGUUAUCUUACAAACUCUGGGGAAUUCGAGGAAGCUAUGCAAUUAUAUGAGAGAAUGAAAUCAGCUGGAUGUAAGCCUGACACCCUGUUCUACAACUCACUUGAUCCACACACUAGGAAGAGCUGGACGAGUGACCUGAAGCUAUUCGUGUUUUCGAGGUUGAGAUGCCUGAGAAUGAGGUUCCUCAUAAUACAUCAACUUACAAUACGUUGAUUGCCAUGUUUUGCAAUCAUGCUCAAGAGGAAGAAGCCUUGAAAAUCCUCCAGAAGAUGGAAAGGUCUGGGCUCUGUAAGCCUGAUGUUCAGACAUACUAUCCGUUGCUUAAAAUGUGCUUCAAAACUGGCAAAACAGACAAUUUUUGAAUAAGUUGGUGAAUGGCAUGGUCAAUGGACAUCAUCUCAGUUUUGAUCUCUCAACAUAUACAUUACUAAUUCACGGUCUAUGCAGAGCAGGUAAAUGUGAGUGGGCUUAUAGUCUUUUCGAGGAGAUGAUUGCUCAAGAUAUGAAGCCUAGAUAUAGGACUUGUCGUUUACUUUGGGAUGAAGUUAAACUGAAGAAUAUGUCUGCAGCUGCUGACAGCAUUGAAGAUUUCAUGAAGAAGCUAUGACUACAUGUGAAACUGUGAAAGCUAUGUCACUCUACUUGAACAGUUGUUAUUAUAACAUUAUUCCAGUAAUGACCUCGCAGCUAUAUUUCGAGAAAUACCUUCUAAACCUGCAUUUGAUUCUCCGAUAGCUAACAGCCGCAUCAACUGAAAACCAGGGUUUUGCUUCUUCAGAAGUAGUUGCUUCUUAGAAUUGACUAAUGAUGAGCUCCACAAUUAUCCCUUAUAUGAUUGGGACUUUCACACAAACCAUAUCAAGAUGCCAACAG